AUUAAACUCAAUUGAUAGUUACAUUUUAUUGUGCAACAUAUGGAAUUUUUAAUUUAUUGAAAUAAAUAGGAAGAAUAAUGGUGGAAGAAGAGAAACCAGAGAAACAGUAUGUGAAAUAGGCAGCUGUUUUAUGGUACAUUUAUAUACACGUUCUAGGAGUAUACGCUAUCUGGUUGAUGUUCAUUUGGAAAUGGAAACUAUACUGCCAAAUGGAUGACUAUAUUUUAUAGGUUCGAUAUAUGAUUGGAUAUUAUAUCACAGGAUUCAUCAUAAAUAUUAUGGGAUAAAGAUCCAUACAUCAUAAAAAAGAAUUUCUCUAUAGUCAUUAUAUAAGUAAUGUAUUGUCAUUCAAUAUGAGUCUUGAGGAAAUGAAACGUAACAUUGAUUUACGCGAUAUUGAUACUUAUGUUUAUUUUCAAAAGAUCUUCUAUUGGUCAUUAUUUUUAAUAUUUAGAUUUAUAUUAUCUCUAAAUGUGCCGUUGAAAUAUUGGGACGAAUCAAUAAUUGAAACUGUAUUAAUAACAGGAUUUCUACGAUUUGCUAUAUUAUGAUAAGUAUAUCUUGGUUGGUAAAUAGUGCAUACUUGGUCUGAAACUUUAAGGAAAAAGAAAAGUUAAUGCACAAUUAAUAAUAAUUUCUUGUACAAACUGUUUCUUAAAAUAUGAAGAAACCAUUUCACUUUUAUUGACAAUGAUGUCAUUUAAAAUGAUAUAUUUUAAAUAAAACAUUAUUAGAAAUAUAACACGUUUGAACAAUUGAUAUAGCGAAUCUUGUGAAAAAUCAUUUGACUAUACUUAUUGAAUAAGAUUGAAUAAUUCGUUAAGUACAGCAUAAAUAUAUAUUUACUAUUAUUUAAUUUACUAUUAAUACUUAGAAUACAA